rnacentral:tRNA from 1 species
GGAGGGUUAGCUCAGCUGGGAGAGCAUCUGCCUUACAAGCAGAGGGUCGGGGGUUCGAUCCCCUCACCCUCCACCA